UGUUCAGUGGCGAACGGGUGAGUAACACGUGGGUUACCUGCCUCUAAGUUGGGGACAACAGUUGGAAACGACUGCUAAUACCGAAUGUGAUAGUAAUAUUAAAGGAGCCUUUAAAGCUUCGCUUAGAGAUGGGCCUGCGGCGUAUUAGCUAGUUGGUGGGGUAACGGCCUACCAAGGCGACGAUGCGUAGCCGGACUGAGAGGUUGAUCGGCCACACUGGGACUGAGACACGGCCCAGACUCCUACGGGAGACAGCAGUUAGGAAUAUUCGGCAAUGGGGGAAACCCUGACCGAGCAAUGCCGCGUGUGAGAUGAAGGUCCUCUGGAUUGUAAAUCACUUUUAUUUGGGAAGAAUUGUAAGUAGAGGAAAUGAUACUUACUUGACGGUACCUUUUGAAUAAGCCCCGGCUAACUACGUGCCAGCAGCCGCGGUAAUACGUAGGGGGCGAGCGUUAUCCGGACUUAUUGGGCGUAAAGCGUGCGUAGACGGUUUAUUAAGUCCAGAAUUAAAGCCCGAGGCUUAACCUCGGUUCGUUCUGGAUACUGGUAGACUAGAGUAUGGUAGAGGCAAAUGGAAUUCCUAGUGUAGCGGUGGGAUGCGUAGAUAUUAGGAGGAACACCAGUGGCGAAGGCGGUUUGCUGGGCCAUUACUGACGUUGAGGUACGAAAGCGUGGGUAGCAAAUAGGAUUAGAUACCCUAGUAGUCCACGCUGCAAACGAUGAGCACUAACUGUCAGGUCACCGGUGCUGAAGUUAACACAUCAAGUGCUCCGCCUGAGUAGUCCGGUCGCAAGGCUGAAACUCAAAGGAAUUGACGGGCCCCCGCACCAGCGGUGGAGCAUGUUGUCUUAUUUGAAAAUACGCGAUGAACCUUACCUAGACUUGACAUCCCUGGCAAAACUAUAGAAAUAUAUUGGAGGCUAUCCAGGUCACAGGUAGUGCAUGGUUGUCGUCAGCUCGUGUCGUGAGAUGUUGGGUUAAGUCCCGCAUCGAGCGCAACCCCUCCCAUUAGUUGAUACGCAAGAGCACUCUAAUGGGUCCGCUACCGACAAGGUGGAGGAAGGCGGGGACGACGUCAAAUCAUCAUGCCCCUUAUGACGUGGGCUACACACGUAAUACAAUGGCCGUCAACAACGGGAAGCGAAUCCGCCGAGGUGGAGCGAAACCUAAAAAACGGUCUCAGUUCGGAUCGCAGGCUGCAACCCGCCUGCGUGAAGUUGGAAUUGCUAGUAAUCGAGGAUCAGCAUGCCGCGGUGAAUAC
rnacentral:rRNA from 1 species